AUUGAACGCUGGCGGCAGGCCUAACACAUGCAAGUCGAACGGUAGCAGGAAGAAGCUUGCUUCUUUGCUGACGAGUGGCGGACGGGUGAGUAAUGUCUGGGAAACUGCCUGAUGGAGGGGGAUAACUACUGGAAACGGUAGCUAAUACCGCAUAACGUCGCAAGACCAAAGAGGGGGACCUUCGGGCCUCUUGCCAUCGGAUGUGCCCAGAUGGGAUUAGCUAGUAGGUGGGGUAACGGCUCACCUAGGCGACGAUCCCUAGCUGGUCUGAGAGGAUGACCAGCCACACUGGAACUGAGACACGGUCCAGACUCCUACGGGAGGCAGCAGUGGGGAAUAUUGCACAAAGGGCGCAAGCCUGAUGCAGCCAUGCCGCGUGUAUGAAGAAGGCCUUCGGGUUGUAAAGUACUUUCAGCGGGGAGGAAGGGAGUAAAGUUAAUACCUUUGCUCAUUGACGUUACCCGCAGAAGAAGCACCGGCUAACUCCGUG
rnacentral:rRNA from 1 species